rnacentral:rRNA from 1 species
UACAGAGGGUGCGAGCGUUAAUCGGAUUUACUGGGCGUAAAGCGUACGUAGGCGGCUUUUUAAGUCGGAUGUGAAAUCCCUGAGCUUAACUUAGGAAUUACAUUCGAUACUGGGAAGCUAGAGUAUGGGAGAGGAUGGUAGAAUUCCAGGUGUAGCGGUGAAAUGCGUAGAGAUCUGGAGGAAUACCGAUGGCGAAGGCAGCCAUCUGGCCUAAUACUGACGCUGAGGUACGAAGGCAUGGGGAGCAAACAGG